ensembl:lincRNA
UGCUAUCCUUUCAGCCAUCUCAUUGUUUGCAGGAAUGUUUUCAGCCUCUGCACACAGCAUAGCUGAACGUCAGAGCUGUUGAUGAAGUGUGGAGUUAUCUUACUGACUCUUGGAGACCAGAAGGUUUGGGGUGGCCAAGGAAAUCUUCAAAAUCAUCAUCUUGUAUCAAGACCAUCACCUUCAAACGUGAGCUCAAUUAAUCUUCAUGACAACCUGCUAAGUACCUUUGGGGGACUAAGCCGCAUGGGCCUUGGCUUUCUAGACAUUACACAUGAGGGGGGGCCACCACCGUACCAGAAGCUUCCUCAAGAGAGCCGUGGCUACGCCGGUGGUAAGCAGACUCCAGGGUGUUUACUUAGUCGUUCACAGCAGGAGAGCAGCCCCAGCUUUCCUCCUCCAGUCGACAGUGGUUUCCUCCCUUGCCCGGUGCCCCUGGAGAAGCCCUCCCAGUCGACAGUGGUUUCCUCCCUUGCCCGGUGCCCCUGGAGAAGCCCUCCCGGUCGACAGUGGUUUCCUCCCUUGCCUGGUGCCUCUGGAGAAGCCCUCCCAGCUCUUCUCACAGGAAGUGCUCUUGCAGCCCAGGCUGCUAAGGCGAGCGGGACUGAGGGGAGACACUUAGGUAAAAGAGCUGAUACGCUAGCACAAGAAAACUCAUGAAAGAAUUAGUCCCUUUUUCUACCAAAACACACAUGUCUAUAUGCUGCUGCCCCUUGAUGUCCUGAACCAGCUGAGGAACUGGGGAUGCAGUGAGCGCAGCAGAGCAGAAAGGAGAAGAGAGCCAGAGCCUCUAACAGUGUCUCUGAGCCUCUGAGAAUCACCUUCUUGGAUGUCUUGCUAAUUGAGACACUAAUUAUUUUUGAGCCAGGUAAGUCUAUAUUUUUUUUGGUUCCUAAUACCUCAUGUCAUUUGGUCUGCAACAACAGAGAAAAGGUAGUUCUCAAACCUAAAAAAGUUGAUAAUCUAAGAGAAAUCUUGUGAUAAUAGUGACGACGAUGACAAAGAAUGAUGUGGUGACGCUGCUGCUGUUAGUCGUGGGGGACUGUGGCAGCAGCUAUGGCAGUGAUGGCGGUGAUGGUGACGAUGAUAAAACUGGGAUUGAUGGUGGACAUAGUGAUCCUGAGGUCAGCAGCUGUCACUUGUCACUGUCACUGGUCUGCUUCCUUUGUACCAGACCUGCUUCUGGCCAGGUUUCCCAAUUGCUUGGGUUGAUAUAAAGAGGAAAUGGGGUAACAGAUGCAAAAGUUUCUUAAAAAAAAUUACGCCAUCACUGCAUUAAUAAUCCGUUUAUGAAACACUAUAGCCCUGCACUAUUCUAAAUGCUUUAAGCAGUGAUUUUCUCACCACGGUCCUAUAAAUGGAGUCAGACUCCAUUUUUUAUGUUUGACCACUGACAGCCUUUAAGCCCCCAGCACUCCCAUUUCCCUUUGUCCACCCAAUCUGAGCAAGCCAAUAAGAAAGCCCAGUAACAAUGUGGGGUAGCAGGAGGCUCAUCCUGCCCUCCACGCAGGGUGACCACACAGUUAACCCUGUGAGAUGGGGAGUCUGAUUAUUCCUAUUUUAUUGACAAAGAAACAGAAUCACCUGGCUCAUAUAUGACAAAGAUAGGGUUCUGUCAGACUCCAAAACCUGAGCUUCUGAUCAACAACAAUCCGGGGCUGUUGUGUUGCAAAGAUGAAACAGGAUACUCACUGUGGAAGAUGCUCGGAGAAUGGAAAGCAUUUGUUCGCUUACUCAUUCUUUCAAACAUUCAACAGGGAACCAAUUGUGCCUGUGCCUGAAUGCAAGCUGGGGCCAGGUUUAAGGGACAUUCACUUGGACAACCAGAAGCCCUGUGAGCCAACGAGAGCUGAAUACCUUCCUGAUAACAUUAUCAGAUCCUGAGGCAAGGGAGAGAUCAACCUGUGGAAGAUGCUCAGGAAAAAAUUGGCUGAAAUGGGCAAGUAGAUUGAGAACGAAAGAUGAAGGGUGGACCACAGAAAGAUAACUACAAACCCAGAAAGCGUGAGGCUGCUUGACACAGCAGGACACAAAACCUGGACCCGAGAUGAAACUCAUAUUAACAAAUCAUGAUUACGUAAUAUUGCUGACAGGAAAGUCACAGUAGUGCUCAGCACCACAGCUUGAAUGAGAGACUGCCUUGCUACUCUAAUUAAUGAAAUGAAGGAUUAAUUUAUAAAUCAAAUACCCAUAUUAAAAAUUCAGAGGCCGCAAUCAAUAUUCUUCUGCUCAUGCUACAGUCAUCUAAUUUUCUGUAAUAAAUGACAUUAGAAGAUGAGUAUUGGUAAACUAAUAGAACAUUCCAUUGAAAUACUUCUCAAGAGCGCUUGCCAUCUUGCAUGGCUCAUUGACGGAUGAUAUUAAUACAAGCCGUGGGUGGAUCCAGAGGACAGUACAGUAAUUGACUCCUCAUUGAGCGGUGGAGAGCUUCCACUUGAGUAGAAUGGUGCCUGAGCCAUUUAGAGAUUCUGAACUAGAGCCAUUUAGAGAAUUAGUAAAUGUGUAGCAAUAUCUGCCUUUCUUUUUAAGACAAAAUGGGUCAGGUCUUGCCUCUGAAGCCUGGGACCAGUGUUGACGUUGGCCAAGCCGAACCGAUGCUAUCUCCCAGGAUUCUGAAUCUUAAGGCCAUGAAGUCAGGACAGGAGGAAGGUGCAUUAUCACAGCAACCACAUUGCCCCUGCCACCUGGCUCUUCAGAAAGGCCUUGGUUCUCACCCACCUCCCAAGUUUGGUUUCCAAGCCACCUUUCAUUCGAAGAACUCGGAUGUCCUUCUAAGAAAUUCCUUUAUGCUGAAAAUGGCCAGAGUCCGUCUCUCACUGGCAACCUGGACUUUUGACUGAGACAUAAAUAGCCUGAGGGAAGAAGUAAGUUGUACAUUAAUCACAUUUCCUGUUCCAGUUAGGCUCUGUGUGUAAGGUAAGAAGCGCUUGCUUUCAGAAAUAGGGGAGAAGGCAUCAGGAAGCUAUUUAGCUGUGAUAAAUGUGGGGAGUGUGGUUUGGAGGGCACCUGUCUCUGAUGAAAUGGGAACAGAAAGAGUUAUGACCAGUGAGAGGGGUGGGAGAGGGGAGUCCAUCCAUUUAAGCAGAGCAUGUGAAACAAAGUCAUUACGCAACAAACAAACAAAGGGCAGAAGUGCUGUUCAGGAUGGCACAUUUCCUGGGAGCCCCUAUUUAAAAGAAUAGCUAGGAUGAGUGGUAAGCAUGCACGUCUGCUCACGACUCAAGGCGGUGCUUCUUCCCGGGCUGUGUGUCUGCUUCCUGACUGUGCUCCUGGGAUGGGCUUCUCUGGCAGGGCUCCUGCAUAGGUCCUAAGCAGACUGACAGCACACAGUAGGUGUUCAGUAAAUACCUGUUGAAAGAAUGAGCAGAUUGUGACCCCAGAAUUCCACGCCAGUUCUUGUGGAGAGGAAGAGUGGUACAGCCCCUGGAAAAUGAUCACUCAGCCGUUUGAGAACUCCCGUCACCCACUUAAGGCUGCUCCUUUCAGUAAUUUCUUUCUGUUAGAAGGUUUUGUCCCCAACCUUCAUGAUGGCCCCCAGUGAUUCUUUCAUGCUGGAGUUGAUGCCAUGUGUAGUCAGUCAAUCUCUCUGACACCACUGAAUAGGUCUGACCUAUUUAGGAGAAUAUUGCAGAAAUGAUGGUACAUGACAGCCAGGACUAUGUCAUAAAUAAUUGUAUGGCUUCUACCUUGCUCUCUCUUGGAUCCCUUUUCCUGGAAGAAGCCAGCCGCUGUGUUGUGAGAACAGUCAAGCAGCCUUAUGAGAGGUCUUCAUGGUGAAGAACUGAAGUGUCAUGCCAACCACCAGCACAAAUGGGGCAGCCAUGCCAGUGAGCCAUCUGGGAAUCGGAUCUCCCAGGCCCCCUUCAAAAGACCGCAGUAUGGUGAGGGACCGUGACCCAGAACCACGGAAGUCACUCCUGAAUUCCUCUUCCAAGGCGUGUGUAAAGUGCUACUCUUUAUUGCAUCCCCACCAGCCAUGUGGGAGGGCUCCCCUUUCUCCACACAAGUAGGUGUCUUUAGAAACUUAGGAUUCACCUCGUGGCCAACCCUGUAGUCACCAGGAAAUGUAAUAGUCCUGGAUCUACUUCCUCAUAACCCUCCACUUCAGUUUCCAAAGGCCUUGCCCCUCACGUUCAGCUUGCAGAGUGGAUUGCUGGUCGUUCUGUAUUGCAUGCAGGUCCGUCGUCAGAUGGGGAACGGGGCCUCCAGCCCUAAGAAUGCAAGAAUGGAGAAGGGCAGAAAGCGUUCUCUCCUAAGUCUCUGCUCAAAGUGGAAACUCAAAGGGCUUGCCUGGCAGACCAGUGGUUAAGACUCCAUGCUUCCAAUGCAGGAUUUACAGGUUUGAUCCCUGGUUGCGUAACUAAGAUCACACAUGCCCUGCCAGGAAAAAAAGGGAAAUCAGAAAUUAAACUCAGACCCUUAACACAAUGAAGAUUGAUUCCCUUUCUUUCCAACACAUUUCUGUGAAUUUUUAUUACACUCACUAUGUGACAAAAGGCUGAGAGGAUGAUCCAGCGCCUGAAACCAAAGGCCUGGCUCCAAGGUGAAAAUGAUUCCAUACUCCUUACUUUUCUCUUCUCUGAAGAAUGUUUCAGCUCAGUGUUUCUUAACUACACAAAGCCUUAAUCCCUUGAGAUACUCAGAGGAGGAAAACAAGUUCUAUGAACAAAAAAGUGAGAGAAUUUCUGCAUUCCAAAGCCCCCUCUCAGAGAUCCACAGCAUAAGUCCCUGUCCUCCAAAGCUGCCGCUCAGUAAGGAAACCUAGCUAACCCAGGACUUCCCCAAUGCUCCUGACAACAGAAUGUUUAUUCUUGCCUAAUGUGAAAUCCUGCUGAAUGAGUACUCAACAGAGUCCUUUGGGAGACACUGUUUCACCCCGGAUGUUGGUUGACUCUCUUUUUCAGUUCAGAUUCCAUGGCAAAAACAAGUGGGAAAGCAUGAGAUGGGGAGUAUCAGUGCUGCCCAGACAGAGUGCAGGCAUGGAGCGAGAAAAGCCAGGGUGCUGUGUCUGGGGGUUUUGUUUGUUUGCUUACUUUUUAUUUGAAAAAAUUUAUACAGGAAAUUAUAAAAACAGCACAGAGAGUUCAGGCACACAUGUCACACAGUGUAAUGAUAACAUCAACAUAAACACACUAUCAAAAAAAUUGAAAUAACACUUUAAUUAUGAAUUGGACUCCACCAGUUUUUACUUGCAUUUUUUUGAUAUAUAUAUUAUGAAAUUUUGUGACAUGUAUAGAUUUGUGCCACCACCACUACAAUCAGAAUACAGAACUGUUCCAUCUCCACAAAGAAGCUCCCGCAGCCUGUCUCCUUAUAGCUACACCUUCUACCACUCCUGCCUGCCAGCGACCAUCACUAUCGUUUUGUAAGACUGUUAUAUAAAUGUAAAUAUAUGUAACAGUUGAGGUUGGC